GUACUUUGGCCAUCGCUACGUUUUGAGUUCAGAUUCCACCAAGGUUGACAUUGCCUUUCAUCCUUUUGGGGGGGGGGUCAAUAAAUUAAGUACCAGUUACGUACUGGGGGUCGAUGUAACCGACUGUCCCUCUCCUUCAAAACUGCUACCCUUGUAGCAAAAUUUGAAACCAUUAUUAUUAUUAUUAUUAUUAUUAUUAUUAUUAUUAUCAUUAUUAUUAUUAUUGUCAGGGCAGUGGUUUGGCUGGAUCGUUAGAGUAUCAGAACAAGGAUGCGUUUCAGUGUUCGUUUUGUUUACCUAUUGCUCUGCGUCCGAAUCCAGCCGAGGUCAGCUUUGCCUCAUAUCCCCUUAUAAGGUCAAUAAAAUUUAUAAAACACACGGGAUACAUACUGGGACAGUGUGGCUAUGAUGGAUUUAAUUGAUUAACUAGCGCCUCCUUUCAGAAUUCCUGGCCCUUCAAUCUACGUUAGAAACAUUAUUAUCAUUGUUGUUGUUGUUGCUGUUGUUAUUGUUGUUGUUGUUGUUGUUGUUGUUACACCUACACCCCCGCCCCAAGUCAACUCUGGUCAAUCAGACGAGCAGACAAAAGCAAAAUCUUGGAUCAAAGACGUUCCAACCGUGACCAUCCCAUCGGUUUUCAUUUAAAAAAAGAAAAAAAUUCUGUUGUCUAUCAUGGACCACAUUGUUCUGUUUUACUGAUGUGUCCUUCUUUAUUUUAAAGCUGUAGCAUGUGAUGUGGCUAGUGUUUCUAGCUGGAUAAGCUUAACCUUGUAGGGUUACUUUAAUUUUUUUUUUUAUGUUUCUUGAG